CGGGCGAGCGCCGAGGGGACAGGCCGAGCGCGGGGCGCCGGAGGCAGGUGUGGGACAGGCACUGGCCUCAGACCGGGGCCACACUGAGGUCUGCCCUUCUCCCGCUGGCCGCCACCCAGGACACCAUGAGCCAGUCCGGGGCCGUGAGCUGCUGCCCGGGUGCCACCAAUGGCAGCCUGGGCCGGUCCGACGGUGUGGCCAAGAUGAGCCCCAAGGACCUGUUUGGUGCCUAGUCUGGAAAGCGAGAAGACCUGGGAGGGCAGGGAGAGUGAAGCUGGCAGCUCUCAGAGUGGGAAGAAGCCGGGCUGGGACCCCCUUCCUGUCCCCUCACCCUCCGGGACAGAAACCCCCCCGGCACAGGCUGCUGGUCCCCACUCUGAGCAAGCCCAUCGCCUUCUCCGAGCUGCGUCCUUCUCCAAGGGGGCUUCCCUGGAGGGAGGGAGGGGGCUUCCUGCAGGUCCUGAUUUCACACCCACAUCCUUCCUGGUGGCCAAGAGGUCCACGGAGCAGCCUCCCUCCGCUUGACUCCACCUUCCCUUGUGGGUCCAGUCCCAACUGGACGGGAGGCUGUGGGUCCUGCCCGUCGGGGGAGUGACUGGUGUCUCCCGGUUCAGAGCAGAGGAAGAAGUAUUCCAACUCCAACGUCAUCAUGCACGAGACUUCGCAGUACCACGUCCAGCACCUGGCCACAUUCAUCAUGGACAAGAGCGAAGCCAUCACGUCUGUGGACGAUGCCAUCCGGAAGCUGGUGCAGCUGAGCUCCAAGGAGAAGAUCUGGACCCAGGAGAUGCUGCUGCAGGUGAACGACC
rnacentral:sRNA from 1 species